rnacentral:lncRNA from 1 species
CGAGGAGCACGGUAUGGGCUUGUUGGCUUCCUUUCCAGGAGCGUUGAGGGCACGUGUGCCGUACGGGUCGCAUGCGAAGCACGAAUGUGCGGAGCAUGGGCGUGCGGGGUGUCGCGCUAUGUCGCUGGCGUUGGAAGACAGACGAGCUUGUGGCGCACACUUGGGUGGCUGCUUUGACGUGUGUCAGUGGACUGAGCGAGCAGGCCGCGAGUAGGUGGUAUGGCCGUGGAUGCUGUUAGGCGCAAGAGGCCCAAUCGUGGAGAAGUGACCUAGCUUGGUGGCCAGCCUCAGUAUUGGGGUUGCUCGUUGGGGAACUCGUGGAGUCCGACGAGGGGUUCGAUUGCAGGCGAUUGGUUGAGCUGUCAGUCUCGCGCAGGAGCAAGCUUGGCAAAUGCUUGGAUUGGUAUUCCGCUGUUAAGUUUGGAAGGCUUGUCCGUGGUUAGGACUUGUGGUAGGCUUGCCCAUCUUCGAGCAGGAAGGGGGCGCCGCACGGGCUUUACGAAGAAAAAAGUUUUGUCCGUGACAAGUGGUAUCAGAGCCAGAGGUCACGGGUUCGAUUCCUGCAUGCUGCAAAUGUGUGCAGGUGCUGGAGGGGGGGAUUGUUGGGUUAAAUGGGUCAGCAUCCUGCCCUGUGGCGGGAGGCCAUGUGGGCCGAGUCACAAUCGAGACCCGUGGGCGCUGUUUCUGUACGCUUUAAGUGAAUUGGUUGCAUAUUUCUAACAGCUCNCCCGUGGGCGCUGUUUCUGUACGCUUUAAGUGAAUUGGUUGCAUAUUUCUAACAGCUCGAGCUUUUGGGAUUAAUGGUUAGCGCCAACGAUCCGACAAACUACAUAUUAACUAGUCUAAUGAACAUAUAUUUUUGUUAAUUAAUUAGUAGGUGGCUUAUUAAUUAAGGCUUUACCGUUUUUAAAUAUUUUCUUAAUAAUAUUCUUCUUCUUUUUUUUGAGAGAGAUAAGCAGUAUGUUAUUCGCUUCGUUUAUUUCAUUUAGAAAUAAACUUAGUUGGAAAUGUAAAAAAUUAGGAUUCAAACUUGAGAUUUCAGAUACCAACCACCAAAUCCUUUGCCACUUGCGCUAGGAACGGUUGGUUCUUUUGCAUUAUUUUUAGCACAACCUAUUGUACUCAUGUGCACAACUUGCUUACUAUUUGUGUACACUAAAUAUUUUGAUUUGAUAAAAUAAGUGGUUUCGCAUAUUUUGAUUAGAAUAUGGUAAAUAGCUUUGCUAGAUCUCCUAUAUAUUGUACUCGUUCCGUGCGAGUGAUCUAUUCAAAUGUUCUUUUUAUUACAAAAUAAUAUUUUGCUUAAGACCAAAAUAAUUCGGUAAUUAAUAAUAACUUUAAUUGAAAAUAGGAGUCUACUGAACUAUUUGAUAGAGUACAAGGGAUCCAAUUAUUAAAAUUAAAAGUUCAAACACUUGUUUAUAAAAAAUCUAAAGUUUAUGAAUUAAGUCUUUCUACAUUUUUCCCUAAGAUUUAUAAUAAUUAAUUGUUCCUCACAUUUAUGUCCGAACACAAUUCGGUUUAAAUUGAAUUACUAUAAUCCAACUAGAUUACUUUUGAUUAAUUUAGUUUGAUUUCAUUUAUAAUUCUUCUUGAUUUAAUUUUACGUAUCGAGAUCAAACUGAAGAAACUGUUAAAAUCGGAACGGCGAAAAAUAGAUCCAGAAAAUAAUUUAAUGCAGGAAACGAAAAGAUAAGAGGAAAGAGCACACCGAUAUUUUCGUCGUUCGGCCAACAGCCUACGUCCACGGGCGAAGACGGAGCAAAUAAUUUAUUAAUGUCGAAAAGACGGAGUACAAAGAAGAUCUCUCAAAAGACCCGAAACUCUAAUCAGAUCAAAAACGCCGUAAUAAGCAACUCCGAAAAAAAUAGCUUCUCUCUCAAUCCGUACGAACCAACAAAAUUGGGCCUUAAUUAGCACUAGGCUCUUCAACCGUACGGACCCAAUGUGCAUAAUUAGUCGCCGGCUCCUCGGAUGCUCACUUAAUAAAUUAGAGCUCCAACUCUCUCUUUGCUCGUGAUGAUGCAGCCACCGAAAACACCAAAUUAACACGAAGCUCGGUUCCCUCCGGCAACAACCGUACCCUCCAAGAGCUUAAUUAAUUAGUGCAUGGCCUCUUAAUUUUGUUGCGGCUAGAUUAAUUUGGCCGUAGCAUGUAUUUAUAAUACAUGUCUCCUAAAUAGAGUCUAAUUCUAAUUCAAUUAGAAAUUAGAUUCCGACUCAUAAUCCAUAUAUGCCAAAUUAAAUCUAAAUUAUAUUCAAUCUCAAUUAGAUUAGGAUUUAACUCCAAUUUAGAUAACUACAAAUCUAAACUAAAUAUAAGCUAAUUUAUAAG